UGGGAGGUAGCUCAAUGGCAGAGCUCUCGACUGUUAAUCGAGCGGUUGCGGGUUCGAGUCCCGCCCUCCCAG
rnacentral:tRNA from 2 species